rnacentral:rRNA from 1 species
AACGCGAAGAACCUUACCCAGGCUCGAAAUGUGGAGAACCGCGGCAGAGAUGCCGCUUCCCGAAAGGGGCUCUAUAUAGGUGCUGCAUGGCUGUCGUCAGCUCGUGCCGUGAGGUGUUUGGUUAAGUCCAGCAACGAGCGCAACCCUUAUUGUCAGUUGCCAACAUGUAAUGGUGGGGACUCUGGCAAGACUGCCUAGGUUAACUAGGAGGAAGGUGAGGAUGACGUCAAGUCCGCAUGGCCUUUAUGUCUGGGGCUACACACGUGCUACAAUGGUCGGUACAGAAGGCAGCUAAGCCGUGAGGCGGAGCAAACCCGAUAAAACCGAUCUCAGUUCAGAUCGCAGUCUGCAACUCGACUGCGUGAAGUUGGAAUUGCUAGUAAUGGCGUGUCAGCAACAGCGCCGUGAAUACGUUCCCGGGCCUUGUACACACCGGUAUCUC